rnacentral:misc_RNA from 1 species
CGUGUGUUUCGUUUUUAACGAUGCGAAGUAGUAGGUAGUUGUUUAUCUAAAAUUUGUGAAAGCGUAAAAUAAACGAAGAAUAUAAUUAAUAUGGGCGUAGAAAAACAGGAAACCCAUCGUCCAGGAGGAUUUAAACAAGUCAAUAAACCACAUAAAACUGGUAGACAUCGGAGUAAAGGUUCCAUUGGUCAUGAGGUUGGAGGUAGAAUAGGCGUCAAAGCAUUAACUAAACGCGCUCGCCAAGAAUUGGGUAAAGAAGCAAGAAGACAUCAAUCUCAACAACUUCGACAGAAGAAACGAGAAGCAGUCUUAGCUAAGAAACGUAAUCUUGGAGGAUCUUCUAGCGCACCAAUCCUUGUUGCUGUAAUUCCGUUGCAUGAGGAUUUAAAUCCAAAAGAUAUCGUUAACUGCAUGAAACAUGCAGACGAGUCAGCAAUAGUAACAGUUAGUCCAAAUGACAACACUCAUAUUAGCUUGCCCCGGUACAAACAGCGGUUUACCUUUGUUACUCCACCAGUUGGCAACACGUUUGCAACAUUAGAUGCAGCCAAAGUUGCUAAUACCGUGCUUUUUGUUGUUUCGGCAACUACCGGACACUCGACUGAUUCCAAAACUGAUAUCGUUGACUCAUGGGGUGAAGAAAUUAUCGUUGCUUGUCUUGCUCAAGGCUUGCCUAGUACCAUAAUCGGAUUAAUUAAUUUAGAAGAUAUACCUAUAAAGAAGCGACAGGACUAUAAGCAGCAAGCACAGAAGACGAUUUCAAAGUGGCUUCCACAAGAAAAAGUGCACUCACUGGAUAAACCCACUGAUACACUGAAUAUCUUGCGCAGAGCCGGAUCACAGAAGCAGAGAAAUGUGGCGUAUAGAAACAAGCGAGCCCAUCUGCUGGCGGAACAGAUUAAAUAUACAUGCAACAGUGAUGCUGAAAACUAUGUGGGGACUUUGGAAGUAUCGGGUUAUCUGCGUGGUAUACCUUUAUCCGUAAAUGGAUUAGUUCAUGUACCUGGUCUAGGUGAUUUUCAAAUGUCGCAAAUUGAUGCCCCAGAAGAUCCUCAUCCUCUGGAAAAACGGGAACUGAAAGGACGAUCUACAGUGCAGGAAGAUUCCAUGGAAUCGGAAGUUCCUACAAAAGUUCUGGAACGUGCUGAUCCCAGUAAACAGGAAUCUCUCCAAAGUGAAAAUGUCAUUGACCCAAUGGACGCGGAACAAACUUGGCCUACGGAGGAAGAAUUGGCGGAAGCGGAGAUGGAACGCAAACGAAAACUGAUAAAACGCGUGCCGAAAGGCACAUCCGAGUAUCAAGCGGCUUGGAUUCCUGAUGACGAUGCUGAUGAAUUUGACAAUUCUGCAUCCGAAUCCGAGGACGACUGUAUGUCAGUAGAAGCAGCACAAUCCGAAGAAGAUAGUGUCGCUAAUGACGACAAAGAUGAAGAGUAUGAAACGAUGACCGUAUCAGAGGCUGCACCGGAUGAACAACGUUACGACGAAGAAAUGGAUUUACACGAAGAACGUCAGGCCAUGGAAAAAAUAAAGCAGGCAAAAUUAGACGCAGAAUUUCCUGACGAAAUCGACACACCUCAGGAUGUCUUGGCCAAAGUCCGAUUCCAGAAGUAUCGAGGUCUGGAGUCUUUCAAAACCAGUCCUUGGGACCCCAAAGAAAAUCUCCCAAUUGAUUAUGCUCGGAUAUUUCAGUUUCAAAACUUUGAUCGCACCCGCAGACGUAUAUUCAAAGAACAGCAAGAUGUGGAAGGAGCAAUGCCCGGUUGGUACGUGACUCUUCACAUAAUUGGCGUCAAAAAAGAACUGUUCGAUGCUUAUCGUACAGCCGAAGAUCUGCCUUUAGUUGUUUUUGGAUUAUUACCACACGAAAACAAGAUGUCCGUAUUGAACGCAGUCCUGAAACGCACGAGUAAUAACGCAGAGCCAAUAAAAUCGAAAGAACGAUUAAUCUUUCAGUGCGGUUUCAGAAGGUUGUCUUCGUGUCCGAUUUUCAGCCAACAUACGAAUGGGAAUAAACAUAAGUAUGAAAGGUAUUUCCAGCCAGAGAGUACAGUCGUGGCGAGUAUGUUUGCGCCAAUUAUGUUCCCGCCGUGUCCUGUUCUCUGCUACACGACGAAAAUGGAAUUAAUAGCCAUUGGAAGUGUAUUGUCCGCCAAUCCAGACAGAAUAGUCAUCAAGCGAGUCGCUCUAAGUGGGCAUCCCUUCAAGGUGCACAAACGAUCGGCGGUGAUACGAUUUAUGUUCUACAAUCGAGAUGACAUAAAUUGGUUCAAGCCUGUGGAGCUGCACACCAAGUACGGACGCAGAGGCCACAUUAGGGAACCCCUGGGCACCCACGGACACAUGAAAUGCGUAUUCGAUGGCCAGCUGAAAUCGCAGGACACCGUGCUAAUGAAUUUAUACAAGCGAGUUUUUCCUAAGUGGACAUAUGAGCCUUUUCUAUUUACUGAUGAAAUGUACCAGUCGAACGAUGUAAAUAUACAGUAAAGUUACAAAGGCAGUAAAACCAUAUUGUCCAUCGCAAUAUGGUAUUUUACAUUUUCCCAUAUAAAUACGGAUGCAUUUAAAACACUUGCUCGUUGAUACUGAGAGCUACAGUUAACCGAUCCAAGUAGAAAAACAUUAAUUCAACGACCCAACACAUUCAUCUUACAUCAAAGUAUGAAUAAAAAGUCAUAUAUUAGGUUGUAAAACAGUGUAUUCUAAAGCCUUGUCACCAGUUAUCUAUACAUUGAGUACGAAUGUAAUUAUGAUAUAUAUACACGUCUUGGUCAGUGGCAAAAAUGAUAUAAAUGGAGGAAGAUGUAAGAAAAUUAUCUGACAGUUUUAGUACAGAUUUCAACACGCGCCGAUGCCGAUUCGACAAAAAUUGUAUAACGCGUUGGUACACUUCGAAGAAAAGUUUCAUGAACAA